CGCGCAGGCGGUUAUACAAGCCUGGUGUGAAAGAUCGCAGCUCAACUGCGGGACCGCACUGGGAACUGUAUGACUGGAGUUCAAGAGGGGAAGCUGGAAUUCCUGGUGUAGGGGUGAAAGCUGUAGAUAUCAGGAAGAACAUCAGUGGCGAAGGCGAGCUUCUGGCUAUGAACUGACGCUGAGACGCGAAAGCGUGGGGAGCAAACAGGAUUAGAUACCCUGGUAGUCC
rnacentral:rRNA from 1 species